UACGUAGGGUGCAAGCGUUGUCCGGAAUUAUUGGGCGUAAAGAGCUCGUAGGCGGUUUGUCGCGUCUGCUGUGAAAACCCGAGGCUCAACCUCGGGCCUGCAGUGGGUACGGGCAGACUAGAGUGCGGUAGGGGAGAUUGGAAUUCCUGGUGUAGCGGUGGAAUGCGCAGAUAUCAGGAGGAACACCAAUGGCGAAGGCAGAUCUCUGGGCCGUAACUGACGCUGAUGCGCGACAGCAUGGGGAGCAAACAGG
rnacentral:rRNA from 1 species